UAGUCGAGGUGACAACACAGAAAUUUUUGGAAUGGGUCCUUCCGUGGCAGCAGAGGAGGGCAUCAACGGGGACACCUCAGGAUCCGAUUUGGAGGGCAUUGAUUUUGAAGGAGACUCGAGUUUGGUGAGUGAAGAUAACUCAAGUGAUGAGGCAGAUGAGGAGCAGUACAAGGAGCUAGAGGAGUUUAUGGCAAAGAAAAUCCGGUUUUCCAGGGCAUUAAGAUUGCCUUGGACAGUGCAAGGAGGAGGCGGAAACUGAUGAAGAAGGCCAUACUUGUAGGGAUUCCUGGAUCAACACAUGAUUGGACAGUGCUGCAAGAAGCCAUUCACAAAUAUGGCACAAAUUUUCCCCAUCCACCCGCAGGAAAGUUUUAUCUGGUUGAUGCGGGGUACCCCAACAGGCCGGGAUAUCUAGCACCUUACAGGGGGUGAAGUACCAUCAGCGGGCAUGGAGAAAGGGACCAGGACCUUCGGGUACACAAGAGGUAUAUAACAAAGCGCAUUCUUCACUUAGGUCGGUCAUAGAGCAGUAAUUCGGGAUCUUGAAGAUGAAGUGGAGAAUUCUGUAUUACGGCAUCCCUAAAUAUUCUGAGCGUACACAAGCAAAAAUCAUUGUAGCAUGUUGUAGCCUACAUAAUUUCAUUUUGGAAAAUGAUGAUGACGAUGUGGACUUUAAUAUGGCUACGGCAUUAGGCGGGUUGAGAAUGCUCGAAGAAGAUAAGGAUGAGGCGGACACGCAUGAGGCCGAUAAAGUUGAAGACGUUGUGAACAUGAAUACGGUCCGUGAUGAAAUUGCAUAUGCAUAUUUUAUGGCACAAAGGCGCCGGUGAGAAUCAUGUAAAUUAUGCCAUAUGUAACAUAUGUUGGGGGCCAAAAUAUGUUUGUAUCGUCGUUAGUAUUUGUUUGUGGGACUUUGUUUUGCUAUGUAAACUUUGAGAUAGUGUGUGAAUUGUGCUGGCAUAGUUGGUUGCCCAAUAUUUGUAUUUAUGGACCAUAUUUGUGUUGCAAAGGAAAUGAAUUCUAUAUAUUAUGUUGGGCUGUUUAUGUA